GGGAUGGCCUCGGAGAGGGACGGACUCUCAGCUCAGCACCCCAGGUUUAGGAUGACUGCUGACUUGUCAUCUGCUCUGAGCUCUGGCAGUGCUGUUUCCCCACUUAUCCUGGAUUAGUAUAUUUUUGGAUUUGAUACUCUAAGAAUUCUGUUCAAUCUGAAGCCGCUUCUAUGAGGUUUCACUAGAGAAGUUUGUAUGGACUAAAGUGUGGAGCUCCCCCUCUCUGAGGAGAGAUGCCGAGGCUGACAUGACUGCUGUUUGCAGAAAAUCUCUGUUCUCAGGAUUCCCGUGAAGCAUUUCCUGUGGGGUGUGUGAAGAAGCUGGGACAAGCCAACAUUGUGCCAUCUACUGAGCUGACUCUCACCUCUUGGGAAGGAAGGGAGGGGUUUGGUGUGGCAACCGGUGAAUUGUGGAAACAUUCUCCAUCUCUUGACUCAGUACUGCAGCUGGCUUGGUUGCCUUCUGUUCAGUUGUGUGAAUCAUCCAAAUUCUGUCUGGAGAGGAAAGUUUAUUCAAUAGGGAGAAUUGGGAGAAAGCCGUAUUACAUUAUUUGAACCUCUUCCUGACUGACUGGGAAACUGGACUACCUAUACCUACUGUUUAGAGACUGUCACCUAAGGGUCAAGCUUAGAUUGACCAGAAACACAGUCACAUCCUGAGUCUGAUGAAAGGAGUUUUCUCCUAAUUGUACGUCUCAGGCAUUCAGUGGCUCUUAUCUGUAAACUGGGUCCAUAUUGAUCAAUCAGUUAUUGCUUCUUUGUUCUUUUAAUUGCUCACAGAUAUUGGGAAGGAUGGGAACCCCUUUUCAGGGAACUUCCUCUGUCCCUCUUCCCCAUCCUACUUGGCAAGUCCCUAAUAUUUUCUUUAUUAGAAAGCAGAUUAUCCAAUUGUUUCCUUUAUAUUCAUUGACUUUUUUUAAUUCAUCUCUUUUAAGGUAGAUAAAUCUUUUUUCCCCCCAGAUUUCAAGGUCCAGCCCUAAGCCCAGCAUAGGGCCUGGUCCUUUUUGGUCAGGCAGUUGGCAUACCUUGUUUUUAAUAAAUGGAUGUGCUGAGAAGAGCAGAGCUUUGGUUCCUCAGGCAUUUCAUCGUU